rnacentral:rRNA from 1 species
UAGGGAAUCUUCCACAAUGGACGAAAGUCUGCUGGAGCAACGCCGCGUGAGUGAAGAAGGGUUUCGGCUCGUAAAACUCUGUUGUUAAAGAAGAACAUAUCUGAGAGUAACUGUUCAGGUAUUGACGGUAUUUAACCAGAAAGCCACGGCUAACUACGUGCUAG